rnacentral:piRNA from 1 species
GUGGGAAGACUUCUAGGUAGAGG